rnacentral:rRNA from 1 species
GAUGAACGCUGGCGGCGUGCCUAAUACAUGCAAGUCGAGCGAACAGACGAGGAGCUUGCUCCUCUGACGUUAGCGGCGGACGGGUGAGUAACACGUGGAUAACCUACCUAUAAGACUGGGAUAACUUCGGGAAACCGGAGCUAAUACCGGAUAAUAUAUUGAACCGCAUGGUUCAAUAGUGAAAGACGGUUUUGCUGUCACUUAUAGAUGGAUCCGCGCCGCAUUAGCUAGUUGGUAAGGUAACGGCUUACCAAGGCAACGAUGCGUAGCCGACCUGAGAGGGUGAUAGGCCACACUGGAACUGAGACACGGUCCAGACUCCUACGGGAGGCAGCAGUAGCGAAUCUUCCGCAGUGGGCGAAAGCCUGGCGGAGCAACGCCGCGUGAGUGAUGAAGGUCUUCGGAUCGUAAAACUCUGUUAUUAGGGAAGAACAAAUGUGUAAGUAACUAUGCACGUCUUGACGGUACCUGAUCAGAAAGCCACGGCUAACUACGUG